ACAUUAGAUACCCCUGUAGUCCCAGCCCUAAACGAUGCGCGUUAGGUGUAUCGGUGACCACGAGUCACCGAGGUGCCGAAGGGAAACCGUGAAACGUGCCGCCUGGGAAGUACGGUCGCAAGGCUGAAACUUAAAGGAAUUGGCGGGGAGCACCACAACGGGUGGAGCCUGCGGUUUAAUUGGACUCAACGCCGGGAAGCUCACCGGAUAAGACAGCGGAAUGAUUGCCGGGCUGAAGACCCUGCAUGACCAGCUG
rnacentral:rRNA from 1 species